rnacentral:rRNA from 1 species
UAAAAACUUUCAACAACGGAUCUCUUGGUUCUGGCAUCGAUGAAGAACGCAGCGAAAUGCGAUAAGUAAUGUGAAUUGCAGAAUUCAGUGAAUCAUCGAAUCUUUGAACGCACAUUGCGCCCCUUGGUAUUCCGGGGGGCAUGCCUGUUCGAGCGUCAUU